CAUGAGGAAAGCCAGGAGUUACUCACCCCUGGGCCAGCGGCACAUGGCCUGUCUCUAGCAGACAGAGCUGUCCCACAGCACCUGACUUCCGUUUUUCUGCUGCACAGUCUUUGCCAGACAGGGCCUGAGGUUCUGAUGUUGACCUAAAACCACUCAGCCCCAAGUGAUCUCUGUAUAAAUUCUGACACACUCAGAGCUGGAUGAGAGGUUAGUCAAAUGAAAGGCUGUAUGAGAGCAUCUAGUCGGAAGGCACGGGGAAGUGGGACUGACUGCUGCAAGUUGUGAGAGGAGAUAAGAUCCAUCAUUCAACCACGAGCUGCAGAAACAGCACCUGCCCAAGGUGACGAGGGCCCAUCGGAGGAAGCACCUCAGGGAGCACUGAGGGAGUCUCAGCUUGCAGGAGGUGAACUUGAUGACGCUGACUAAAAUUGUGUUGGACCACAUGGGUCCAGACUGCUGCUUGUCUAGUGGGUAAAAACAGGAAAGGCAGGCAAAGAGGAGAGUCAGAGCAAUGAAAGGCAGGACAGUAAGGAAGACACCACAGAACCACAGGGAGAGGAGAGCGGAGCUGGCCGGGGAGGGCAGAAGGGCCUGGGAUGUGUGUGGGGGGAGGGGCUGGUGCACCAAAGCUCUCAGGGCUAAUCUCCUUGGGCCAUCUAUUUGUCACAGCAGUUUCCUCCUGUCCCUCCGACCUCCAAACACUAUCUAGUGUCUAAAGAGUAACCACUGAAGGAUGAUGCUUCUUGAUUACUCAGAGAACCCACAUCCUGACUAUUCCACUCAUGGGAAUAACUUGGAUGACUGUGACGUUUUUCUUUCUUUCAGGACUCACCAACACUCAAGAUAAAAACUAGGCAACGCACCAGAAUAGAUAAUUCUCUUAAGACGUUAAACAGCCAAUUAACCCCUGCAGAGAGCUCUGGCUAUAACCGUAGCCGGAGCUACACCCAGUCCUGAAGGGAACAGCAAACAACCAUGGCUGCUUCCUAUCACCAAUGGCUUUAAAACGAAGGAAAUGGCAUUUCCUUCAAUCCAGAAGUUCCCCCAAAUGGGGCAGAAACGUGAGAGGAAGCCCCGGAUCCUGCCUCCUCCCUACGCACCGCUGAUCCUGGUACACUGACCGGCUGCAGUUGUUGGCCCAGCAUCCGAAGAGGAGGAGAGAAGAAGGACUGGAGAGAGUAAUAUUCACUUAUACCCCAGAUUUCAAAGAACAGAGAAGGCAAUUGUGGCAGCCAUUUGACGGGGUAGGACGAAGUCCCUGAAAUGGGGUUUGAUUUCCCAGCCAAGGUUACUUUUAGACCUAUGCUGAUCCUCCUGCCUCAGCUUCCCAAGCGCUGGGUUAUAGAUGUGCCCACGUGACCUGCAUAUCCCUCAACUCCAGGUACCAGUGGUGUGCAGCUCAUGGAAACUGAACUCUUCCCCACCCACACCCCACCUGCAGGCCGCCUGGUGAUGGGAGGGGACUUGGCUAGUGAUCACAUGGGAAGGGAGGAUGCUACCAGGACGAGGGCAGCACUGUGCCCUGUGCUUCUGUGCUCAGGAAGAUCCCAAUACUUCCAAGGAAACAAUAAUCCAGCCGGGGCUUAGGGAUGCUGAGGGGGGAGGCAAUGUUUUGUGUUCUUUCUGGGUUCUGAGAGGUGGGAUAUGUAAAUAAAGAUACGUUUGCUCUAUCACAGUAAGCAUCAAUUUUGCUUCUUUCGCGUAGAUAGUACUUCUAAGGAUCAACAUGGCUGCUCAGGUACUUUUCUAAAUAUAAAUGCUACCUGUCGCCUGCUAGAGAGACUUAACUAUCCCAGACUAAAGGGGUCCUGCAUGCCCAACAGUAUCAGCUCUAGUAAAAACACGUUUGGAAGAGAUCCCAGCAGAACAUUCUCAGAGUCUGAAAACUAUGUUUCUUCAGGAGUGAUUUCAUAGCCGUAUGUACAUAAAAUGUCAUGCCUCGCAUGUAAUCACUUAAACAUGUUGGAUAUUUUGCAAAUAGGUUUAGAUGAAAAAAAGUUCUGGGUAUUAAAAAAUGUGUCAUAUAAAAGCCAGACAUCUAAAAACGACAUCAUCUCACUGAAGUUUCCCCUGUGGCCAAGUCUCGACCCUCCCAGGGCUGAGAGAUAGACUUCCUCCCUGUUAGAACUUGCAUGGGGGCACAUGGGCUCGUCAGUCAGACAACCAGGCCUGGCAUGGUGCUAUUCCCAGGUGUCACCACAGAUGACCAGGUACUCCCUGUCUCUGUUUAUGGUUUAUAUCUCUGUGUUUGUCUCUGUCUCUCUCCCCGUCCCCACACCCCAGGACUCAUUGUUUCUCAGUCUGACUUUGUAUUUGCUCUGAAUCUAAGGAUGACUUUGAAUUUUUGAUUUUCAUACCUCUAUAUCCUGAGCACUGGGUCAAAGGUAUACUACACCAUGCUUGGUUUAUACAGUGCUGGAAAUCAAACUUAAGACCUCAUAUGUGUUAGGCAAGCACCCUGCCAUUUCUAGGCAAACACCGAGCUACAACUCCAACUCUAUGUGCCACUUUUCUUUGCGUGUGAACAAUUCUACCAUUGGUUAAGGCCUAGGUAUAGCAAGUAAGAGGGUGGCCAGCUGGUAUGAGGUGGUUCCCUCUGUGCAGAGACAUUUCCUCUUCUUCAGAGAACACCUGCCAUUCCCACGCAAGAGAUUCUCUCAUUCUUGAAGGUGUGGUCAGUGGUCUCCUUUGAACAUUCGCCCUCCCUCCUUCCCACGAUCGAAGAACAAACCGCCAUGUUCUUUGCAAGCAUUCCAUCAUUCAGGUCUUAGCUUAAAUGUCACUUUUCUCAGGGACACCUUCCCUGAACACACCAAAUGUCCCUCCCCAUCCCGUGCCUGUUCUUCUAUCUCAACAGAAUUGCCAGAGGAAGUUCAGAGUUUGCAAUUAUAUGUUUGCCUUGUUUCCACCGACCAUCACUCUAGAAUAUUUUCAGUGAAACAGUAAGUUAGCAGGCACGAUUUUCUCCGUGUGUGUGUGUGUGUGUGUGUGUGUGUGUGUGUGUGUG
rnacentral:sRNA from 1 species